CCGGGAGGCAGGAAGUAAAGCAGGAACCGGGAGGCAGGAACCGGGAGGCAGGAACCGGGAGGCAGGAACCGGGAGGCAGGAAGUAAAGCAGAAGCCAAGAAGAUGCUGCUUGCUGGCUUGUUCCCCCAAGGCUUGCUCAGCCUGCUUCUUCCUUCUGUCCCUCCCUCUCUCUUCCUCCCUUCUGUCCUUCCUUCCUUCCUUCAACUUUGUUUAAUAUUUAUUUUAUUUUAUAUAUAUGCUUGUCUGGCAUGUACAUAUGUGCACCACAUGUAUGCCUGGUGCCAGUAAAAGCCAAAAGAAGGCAUUACUCCUCUGGAACUGCAGAUACAGAUGGCUUUGAGCCACCAUGUGAGUACUGGGAAUUGACCCUGGGUCUGCUGCAAGAAAGAGCAACAAAUGCUCUAAACCACUGAGCCAUCUCUCCAGCCCCAACUUAGCCUGCUUUCUUAUAUACCCCAGGACAACUUUCCCCAGAGUGGAAC
rnacentral:lncRNA from 1 species